UGGGGUAUCGCCAAGUGGUAAGGCAAUCGGCUCUGACCCGAUCAUUCGUAAGUUCGAAUCUUACUACCCCAGCCA
rnacentral:tRNA from 1 species